rnacentral:rRNA from 1 species
AGCAGCCGCGGUAAUUCCAGCUCCAAUAGCGUAUAUUUAAGUUGUUGUGGUUAAAAGCUGUAGUUGAACCUUGGGCCUGGCUGGCCGGUCCGCCUCACCGCGUGUACUGGUCCGGCCGGCCUUUCCCUCUGUGGAACCCCAUGCCCUUCACUGGGUGUGGCGGGGAAACAGGACUUUACUUUGAAAAAUUAGAGUGCUCCAGGCAGGCCUAUGCUCGAAUACAUUAGCAUGGAAUA